GGAAUUGUGGCUCGGUGGUAGAGCGCUUGCCUAGCAUGCUCGAUGCCCUGGGUUCAAUCCCCAGCAUCA
rnacentral:tRNA from 1 species